AACGCACAUUGCGCCCGCCGCUCUGCGGCGGGCAUGCCUGUCCGAGCGUCAUUAGUCCACUCAGGCCUCGCCUGGUGUUAGGGCACGCCCGUUGGCGGCCCGUAAAUCUAGUGGCGGAGUGCCCUGGCCUCCCAGCGUCGUAACUCUUCAGCGCUGAGGGUGGUCGGCGGACCUCGGUCUCAACCAUCUUUUUUUUCUGGUUGACCUCGGAUCAGGUAGGAAUACCCGCUGAACUUAA
rnacentral:misc_RNA from 1 species